rnacentral:rRNA from 1 species
AGGCUUAACACAUGCAAGUCGAGGGGCAGCAUUAUCGAAGCUUGCUUUGAUAGAUGGCGACCGGCGCACGGGUGCGUAACACGUAUCCAAUCUACCCAUGGCUCAGGGAUAGCCUUCUGAAAAGGAGAUUAAUACCUGAUGGUCUGUGAUUGAGACAUCUCGAACACAGUAAAGAUAUAUCGGCGAUGGAUGAGGAUGCGUCUGAUUAGCUUGUUGGCGGGGUAACGGCCCACCAAGGCGACGAUCAGUAGGGGUUCUGAGAGGAAGGUCCCCCACAUUGGAACUGAGACACGGUCCAAACUCCUACGGGAGGCAGCAGUGAGGAAUAUUGGUCAAUGGUCGAGAGACUGAACCAGCCAAGUAGCGUGAAGGAUGACUGCCCUAUGGGUUGUAAACUUCUUUUGUAUGGGAAUAAAGUCAGGGACGUGUCCCUGUUUGUAUGUACCUUACGAAUAAGCAUCGGCUAAUUCCGUGCCAGCAGCCGCGGUAAUACGGAAGAUGCGAGCGUUAUCCGGAUUUAUUGGGUUUAAAGGGAGCGUA